GAUGAACGCUGGCGGCGUGCCUAAUACAUGCAAGUCGAGCGAACGGACGAGAAGCUUGCUUCUCUGAUGUUAGCGGCGGACGGGUGAGUAACACGUGGGUAACCUACCUAUAAGACUGGGAUGACUUCGGGAAACCGGAGCUAAUACCGGAUAAUAUUUUGAACCGCAUGGUUCAAAAGUGAAAGACGGUCUUGCUGUCACUUAUAGAUGGAUCCGCGCUGCAUUAGCUAGUUGGUAAGGUAACGGCUUACCAAGGCAACGAUGCAUAGCCGACCUGAGAGGGUGAUCGGCCACACUGGAACUGAGACACGGUCCAGACUCCUACGGGAGGCAGCAGUAGGGAAUCUUCCGCAAUGGGCGAAAGCCUGACGGAGCAACGCCGCGUGAGUGAUGAAGGUCUUCGGAUCGUAAAACUCUGUUAUUAGGGAAGAACAUAUGUGUAAGUAACUGUGCACAUCUUGACGGUACCUAAUCAGAAAGCCACGGCUAACUACGUG
rnacentral:rRNA from 1 species